rnacentral:rRNA from 1 species
CCGCGUGUGUGAAGAAGGCCUUCGGGUUGUAAAGCACUUUCAGUGGGGAAGAAAGCCUAGGGGCUAAUACCCUCGAGGAAGGACAUCACCCACAGAAGAAGCACCGGCUAACUCCGUGCCAGCAGCCGCGGUAAUACGGAGGGUGCGAGCGUUAAUCGGAAUUACUGGGCGUAAAGCGCGCGUAGGCGGUCUGAUAAGCCGGUUGUGAAAGCCCCGGGCUCAACCUGGGAACGGCAUCCGGAACUGUCAGGCUAGAGUGCAGGAGAGGAGGUAGAAUUCCUGGGUACGGUGAAUGCGUAAGACGGAGGAUAUUGUGGCAAGG